rnacentral:rRNA from 1 species
GACGAACGCUGGCGGCGUGCCUAAUACAUGCAAGUCGAGCGGUCUUUUUCUGGAAGGCUUCGGCCGGAAGGGAAGAGAUAGCGGCGGACGGGUGAGUAACACGUAGGUUAUCUACCUCUAAGACUGGGAUAACACCGCGAAAGUGGUGCUAAUACCGGAUAUACCCGCGAGGGGAAAGGCGUAAGCCGCUUAGAGAUGAGCCUGCGUCCCAUUAGCUAGUUGGUGGGGUAAAGGCCUACCAAGGCGACGAUGGGUAGCCGGCCUGAGAGGGUGGUCGGCCACACUGGGACUGAGACACGGCCCAGACUCCUACGGGAGGCAGCAGUAGGGAAUCUUCCGCAAUGGACGCAAGUCUGACGGAGCGACGCCGCGUGAGGGAAAAGGCCUUGGGUUGUAAACCUCCUGUCCUCUGGGACGAAGAGGGCUGAGGAAGCCGAUGACGGUACCAGAGGAGGAAGCCCCGGCUAACUACGUG